rnacentral:rRNA from 1 species
GGGUAGCCGGCCUGAGAGGGUGAACGGCCACAAGGGGACUGAGACACGGCCCUUACUCCUACGGGAGGCAGCAGUGGGGAAUAUUGGACAAUGGACCGAGAGUCUGAUCCAGCAAUUCUGUGUGCACGAUGAAGUUUUUCGGAAUGUAAAGUGCUUUCAGUUGGGAAGAAAAAAAUGACGGUACCAACAGAAGAAGUGACGGCUAAAUACGUGCCAGCAGCCGCGGUAAUACGUAUGUCACGAGCGUUAUCCGGAUUUAUUGGGCGUAAAGCGCGUCUAGGUGGUUAUGUAAGUCUGAUGUGAAAAUGCAGGGCUCAACUCUGUAUUGCGUUGGAAACUGUAUAACUAGAGUACUGGAGAGGUAAGCGGAACUACAAGUGUAGAGGUGAAAUUCGUAGAUAUUUGUAGGAAUGCCGAUGGGGAAGCCAGCUUACUGGACAGAUACUGACGCUAAAGCGCGAAAGCGUGGGUAGCAAACAGGAUUAGAUACCCUGGUAGUCCACGCUGUAAACGAUGAUUACUAGGUGUUGGGGGUCGAACCUCAGCGCCC